GAUGAAUCCUACAGACUCAAGACCUUGACCUAUAUUGCUAAUUUAUAAACUCAACCUCACUUUUACGUUCUGAGC